rnacentral:lncRNA from 1 species
AUGGAAGAAGGUGGGGAGUAUGACGGCUACUAUGGGGCGGACAACCAGUCUGAGUGUGAGUACGUGGAUUGGCAGUCCUCUGGCGCCCUCAUCCCCGCCAUCUACAUGGUGGUCUUCGUCCUGGGGACCGCGGGCAACGGGCUGGUGCUCUGGACCGUCUUCCGCAGCGGCCGGGACCGGCGGCGGGCAGCCGACGUCUUCAUCGCCAGCCUGGCGGUGGCCGACCUCACCUUCGUGGUGACCCUGCCGCUCUGGGCCACCUACACCUAUCGGGACUACGACUGGCCCUUCGGGGCCUUCGCCUGCAAGCUCAGCAGCUAUCUCAUCUUCGUCAACAUGUACGCCAGCGUCUUCUGCCUCACCGGCCUCAGCCUGGACCGCUACCUGGCCAUCGUGAGGCCGGUGGCCAACGCCCGGCUGCGGCCGCGGGUCGGCGGCGCCGUGGCCACGGCCGGGCUGUGGGCGCUGGCCGGCCUGCUCGCCCUGCCCGUGCUGGUCUUCCGCACCACCGGCGCCGCGCUGCCGGGGGAGAACAGCACCAAGGCGCAGUGCUACAUGGACUACUCGCUGGUGGCCAGCCCCGACGCCGAGUGGGCCUGGGAUGUGGGCCUGGGCGUCUCGUCCACCGUGCUGGGCUUCGCGGGGCCUGCGCAAGCGCCGGCGGCUGCUGGCCAUCAUCGCCGUGCUGGUGCUGACCUUCGCGCUCUGCUGGCUGCCCUACCACCUGGUCAAGACCCUCUACGUGCUGGGCAGCCUGCUGCGCUGGCCCUGCGCCUUCGACCUCUUCCUCAUGAACGUCUUCCCCUACUGCACCUGCAUCAGCUACGUCAACAGCUGCCUCAACCCCUUCCUCUACGCCUUCUUCGACCCCCGCUUCCGCCAGGCCUGCGCCUCGGUGCUCUGCUGGGGCCGCCGGGGCUGCGGCGGCGCCUGGCGCGCGGGCGGCAGCAGCGGCGGCGGCCGGGGCGGCGGCGCCGGGGACAAGUCGGCCAGCUCCUCCUCCUCGGCGUCGUCGGGGCAGAGCCAGGGCCCCGGGCCCGGCGGCGCGGGGAAGGGCGGGGAGCCGAUGCCGGAGAAGUCCAUCCCCUACAGCCAGGAGACGCUCGUGGUGGACUAGGGCCGGGUCCCCCCCCCCGCCCGGGGCCCUUUGCUCUCUGAAGAGCGGGGAGCUGGUGAGGGGGCGGGGCCCCCCUUCUCUGGUGCACUUGACCCCUCUCCCUGCUCCCCACGUCA